rnacentral:rRNA from 1 species
CGGACGGGUGAGUAACACGUGGAUAACCUACCUAUAAGACUGGGAUAACUUCGGGAAACCGGAGCUAAUACCGGAUAAUAUAUUGAACCGCAUGGUUCAAUAGUGAAAGACGGUUUUGCUGUCACUUAUAGAUGGAUCCGCGCCGCAUUAGCUAGUUGGUAAGGUAACGGCUUACAAGGCAACGAUGCGUAGCCGACCUGAGAGGGUGAUCGGCCACACUGGAACUGAGACACGGUCCAGACUCCUACGGGAGGCAGCAGCU